GAUGUGAGGGCAAUCUGGCUGCGACAUCUGUCACCCCAUUGAUCGCCAGGGUUGAUUCGGCUGAUCUGGCUGGCUAGGCGGGUGCGCCCUUCCUCCCUCGCCGCUCCAUGUGCGUCCCUCCCGAAGCUGCGCGCUCGUGUAGGGAGAGAGUGU